AUUGAACGCUGGCGGCAGGCCUAACACAUGCAAGUCGAGCGGAGCGGCGCACGGGUGAGUAAUGCCUAGGAAUCUGCCUGGUAGUGGUGGAUAACGUACGGAAAUGGGCGCUGAUACCGCAUACUAUCAGAUCAGCCUAGGUGGGAUUAGCUAGUUGGUGGGGUAACGGCCUACCAAGGCGACGAUCCGUAACUGGUCUGAGAGGAGGAUCAGUCACACUGGAACUGAGACACGGUCCAGCUUCCUACGGGAGGCAGCAGUGGGGAAUAUUGGACAAUGGGCGAAAGCCGGAUCCAGCCAUGCCGCGUGAGUGAUGAAGGUCUUCGGAUCGUAAACCUCUGUUAUUAGGGAAGCGGUACCUAAUCAGAAAGCCACGGCUAACUACGUGCCAGCAGCCGCGGUAAUAC
rnacentral:rRNA from 1 species